AGUGAACGCUGGCGGUAGGCCUAACACAUGCAAGUCGAACGGCAGCACAGUAAGAGCUUGCUCUUACGGGUGGCGAGUGGCGGACGGGUGAGGAAUACAUCGGAAUCUACUUUUUCGUGGGGGAUAACGUAGGGAAACUUACGCUAAUACCGCAUACGACCUACGGGUGAAAGCAGGGGAUCUUCGGACCUUGCGCGAUUGAAUGAGCCGAUGUCGGAUUAGCUAGUUGGCGGGGUAAAGGCCCACCAAGGCGACGAUCCGUAGCUGGUCUGAGAGGAUGACCGCCCACAGUGGAACUGAAACCCGUCCCAACCCCUUAGGGGGGGCAGCAGGGGGAAAUUUGGGACAUGGGGCGCAACCCUGACCCACCCAUCCCGGGGGGGUAAAGAAGCCCUUCGGUUGGUAAACCCCUUUUUUUGGGAAAAAAAAGCAGCAGGUUAAAACCCCGCUUUUUUGACGGAACCAAAAAAAAAAGCACCGGCUAAUUUCGU
rnacentral:rRNA from 1 species